rnacentral:rRNA from 1 species
UGGGGAAUCUUGCACAAUGGGGGCAACCCUGAUGCAGCGACGCCGCGUGAGCGAUGAAGCCCUUCGGGGUGUAAAGCUCUUUCGGCAGGGACGAUAAUGACGGUACCUGAAGAAGAAGCUGCGGCUAACUACGUGCCAGCAGCCGCGGUAAUACGUAGGCAGCGAGCGUUGUUCGGAGUUACUGGGCGUAAAGAGUGCGUAGGCGGUGUUCCAAGUCUGGUGUGAAAUCUCCCGGCUCAACUGGGAGGGUGCGCCGGAAACUGGGACGCUGGAGUAUGGGAGAGGUAAGCGGAAUUCCUGGUGUAGCGGUGAAAUGCGUAGAUAUCAGGAGGAACACCUGCGGUGUAGACGGCUUACUGGACCAUGACUGACGCUGAGGCACGAAAGCGUGGGGAGCAAACAGG